rnacentral:rRNA from 1 species
AGUGAACGCUGGCGGCGUGCCUAAUACAUGUAAGUCGAAGGAAGUGGCGCACGGGGGAGUAAUAUAUAGCUAAUUUGCCACUUGCUGGAGGACAACAGUUAGAAAAGACUGCUAAUACUCCAUAGCAAGGGAUGAGACUAUAUCGUAUCAUCUAGUCGGUGGGGUAACGGCCUACCGAGGCUAUGACGUGUAACUGGUCUGAGAGGAUGAUCAGUCAAAUUGGAACUGAUACACGGUCCAGACUCCUACGGGAGGAAGCAGUAGGGAAUAUUGCGCAAUGGGGGAACCCCUGACGGAGCAACGCCGCGUGGAGGAUGACACUUUUCGGAGCGUAAACUCCUUUUAUUAGGGAAGCGGUACCUAACGAAUAAGCACCGGCUAACUCCGUGCCAGCCGCCGCGGUAAUUC